UAUUUUCUUAUAUCUACUUUUGAUUUAAUUUGCCCUUCUUUUUUUCUAAUUUCCUAAGUUGGAAGAUUGGAUGAUUGAUUUAAGAUAUUCCUUCUUUUCUUUUUUUUUUUUGGAGACAGAGUCUUACUCUGUCGCCCAGGCUAGAGUGCAAUGGUACCAUUUCGGCUCACUGCAACCUCUACCUCCUAGGUUCAAGCGAUUCUCCUGCCUCAGCCUCCCAAGUAGCUGGGACUACGGGCGUGCACCACUAUGCCCGGCUGAUUUUUAUAUUUUUAGUAAAGACAGGGUUUCACCAUGUUGGCCAGACUGGUCUCCAACUCCUGACCUCAGGUGAUCUACCCGUCUCAGCCUCCUAAAGUGCUGCGAUUACAAGCUUGAGCCACUGCGCCCGGCCCUUCCUUUUUUUUUAGCAAAUGAAUUUAAUGUUACAUAUUUUCCUCUAAGUGCUGUUUUCACUGCAUUCCACACAUUUGGUAAGUUGUAUUUUCAUUUUCAUUAAGUUAAAAAUACUUUUUAAUUUUUCUUGACACUUUUUAAAUUCUUUUGUAAAAUAGAAGUACAUUGCUUAAUCUCCAUAUAUUUGGGGAUUUUUUUUCAGCUUCUGGUAGAUUUUUGUUUUUGACUUCUAGUUUAAUUCCACUGUGCUCUGAGAACAUAUUUUGUAUAAUUUCUAUUCUUUUAAAUUUGUUAAGAUAUGCGUUAUGGCCUCGAAUAUGGCAUAUGUGUUGAAUGUUCCACGUGAUCUUGAGAAAAAUAUGUAUUCUGCUGUUGUUGGUUGAAGUACUCUAUAGAUGUCAGUUAGAUCCAGUGAUAAAUGUUGCUGUUCCUUACUAUAUCCUGACUGAUUUUAUGCCCACUAGAUCUACCAAUUACUGAUAGAGGAGUGUUGAAGUCUCCAACCAUUAAUGUAGUAAAUAAUUUUAUAUAGCUUAUAUUUUCCUUGCUGUUCUAUCAGUUUUUACUUCCUGUGUUUUGAUCCUCUGUUGUUAGGUGCAUGCAUCUUAAGUAUUAUGUAAACCAAAAAUAAAAUUUGAAGGCCCCCCACCUUCCUGCAACCAUCUGAAUAGGCUCCCUCCUUGGCCAGGGCACUCUAAAAUUUACCUCCUACUUGAAAUGAAAGACAGGAGCCCUCAGGACCAAAACCUAUGAUGUACUCUCAGCAGUAUGGGAAGUAUGUACUCAAAGUUCCUCUAAGUGUGUGAUAGGAUGAAGAGCAUAAACCACUGCAGAAUACUUUCCCCUUUGGCAGACAAAAGACUUGACUAUAAUUGUAGUUUAGGAAAAAAAUGUCUCAGCAUUUGGCAUUUCCUGUCUCUCCAGGGAGCUGAACUUAGGAUAGUGGCCUUUGUUGUGUCCAGGAAGGGCUGAUUUAAUGCAUGUGGUGGCCAGUGUCUGCGAUGGAUGGGUCUUCUUCAUUGUUGAACCCUCUCACUUCUGAUUCCUCCUUCUCUUCUUCCUCCACUCUUUCAUGAGCAUUUCUCCGACUGAUCUCAGGAUGUCUGGUUAUUAGUGUGUUUGGGGGAGUGAGCUAGAAGAAGAGUCAGUAAUCAGACAAGCAUGCUGCAACCCUCCACUCAGGGUGAUGGACUGGAGAUACUGGGUCCACACAGAUGGCUGCUGCAGCCAACAUGCCAGAGUCUCCAACGUGCCCCAGCCACACUGCCACUUCUGCUGGCCUUCAUCAGUGAAAACCCAGCACAAACAAAGCAGUUCCAGGGUGGCAGCUCAGUGACAUUCAUUUCCACGCUUUCGUUGAAACCAGUGGACGAAACAGGUAUCACCCAUCAACCCGUGUCAUCUGUCAAGAGUGGCUGCUGGAGGCAUCACCCUCUGAUUCCAGGACUUCAGCCCUAACUGGUACACUCCUGGGUUUGGGGCAUCCUCUGGUUGAGUGGCAGGCGCUGCAGGCAGGAGCCGUGGUGUGUGUGUGAACUGUAUACAGAGGCAGCAGGUGACCCAGCACUGUCAGCUGCAGCAUCUGGCAAGGCGGACAGGUAAAGCAGUAAACCAGCAGGUGAGUGAAUGGUUGCAAUUGUAGCGGGUGCCUUGGAGGGAGCUGACUGGGAGUUGAGCACAGAAGGAGGUACAAAGACCUCCAAAUAGGGUCAUAGCUCGUGCCUGCCUCCUUGUAGUAGGUGGGCACCCAGCAAGCAGAGGCUGGAACCCUCAGUCACGUGGCCCUGGGAGAGCUGUUCUGACCUUUGCCUAGAGCCUCGGUGCUAGCUGUGAGCUAGGAUGGUGAUUGCGUUCACUUCUGAUAUGAGCUCGUUAAAAGCGCAUCAUCAGUGGCCGGGUAGGUUUCUCCAUUGCCAAGAGAUGACCUAGUGCUUGUUUAACGCCGGAAAUGAAGCUCAGCGGCAGCUCUCGGGCUGUCCUUCAGUGGCCCCUCGCAUGCCCAGGUGUGGUCUUCUGGUUGGCGUGGCUUGUGUCACCUCCCUCGUACCCUCUUGAGGUCCACACAGUGCACCUGCUUUUGUCUGCCACGGGGGAGAGGAGGAGAGGCAGAUCCUUCUGUGCCCUCUGCUCUUGACCUUUUCUGCUGUGGGGUUGGAGGGUGGUCUUAGCUCAGGGGCUGGUUGCUGUGUCCUCUCCUGAGCUUAACUUGCCCCUGGGUUCCUUUUUCUUACAGAUGGAACUUAACAAGAAGAAGCUAAGGAAGAGAAGAGGAGAGAGAGGAGAGGAGAGAGACAGUGAAGAGGCUGGAAAAGGAGAAAGAGAAAUAUGUUUUUUGGAAUCAAAGUGUUACUUGGAUUCUUACCCAGGAUUUUCCUAUUGUCUCAGGACCUAAAGGGAAAAGACCAGCCAUGGUGUCAUGGUCACAUACAUGGUGUAUGUGAGCCUCUGGGAAAUCUGCCUCAAGCCCAUAGCGCCAUGCAUCUACAGCAGUUGGAACAGCUUAAGAGUCAGACCUCUCUAGAUCCCAAGCGCUGCAACAUGAAUAACAAAACCAAGGUUAAGCCACAGACCACGCCCCGUGGAGAUUUCGCUGCUUCCAGCCUGACCAUCAGGAUUCGGGUCCUGACCGCUCCCCUGGCUGUUGGGCUGGUCCCAGCUCUGGGCCUUGGUUUUCUCACCCACAGAAUGGGGACAAUACAGGACCUCCCUCAUCAGAGCUGUCACAAGUGCUAAGUGAACGGGUUCUUGUGAAGCCCUGCAGUGCCUGGCACAGACCAAGGGCCCCACCGAUAGUGACUGUGAGUUUUCCCACGAAUGUAUUUUUUGAUAUGUAACAUUUUAAAAUAAAAUUUUCUCUUUUCUUUUUUUCCUUCUCCUUUUGGAACCUCAAUUUCCUGAUUCCCUAAGCUCAUGUCUGGUGCUGACUAUUAUCCUAGUGCUGAACUCAAGCUUUCCUCAUAGCUCCUUAGAGCAUUUGAGAAUAACUGUGUGUUUCUGCACCCAGAACAUAUUUGUGAAAUCAGUCAGGAUACAUGGUUCAUGAAGCAUUAAUAGAAGAUGUGGUUCUCAAACUUGAGUGGGGCUCAGGGUCCCCUGGGGGACUUGUGAACACACAGAUCUUGGAUCUCCCCAAGGUCUCUGAUGUCAGAGGUCUGGGUGGGGUCCUAGAGUUUGUUUUUCUGGCCAGUGCCCAGAUGGCCAGAACCACUUUUGGGAACCACACUUUGAGAACCACUGGCACAUAGUAAGGAGGCCUCUUCCAGAGGCCACCGGCGAAGCCACUGUCCUGAAAGGUAAAGAACAUUUGUCCAGGGGAUGUGUUAACGAAAAGAGCUUAAGAAUCAUACAAUAAGACCAAAGGACCAUGAAGUGCUUCAAGAGUGCAGCAGUGAUUUUGUUCCAGCUGGGGCAGGAAAACCUGGGGAGGCCCUGCGGUGAGGAACCAUUUGGACUGGGCGUUGAUGGAUGGCUGAGCACUGCUUGGUGCUGGCCCUGCAAGUGCGAUGUGGUGGGUCCUGUGUUCCACCUUGAAUCUGUGUUUCAUCCUUGAAUAUGGUGGCUUGUGGCUGCUUAGACCAGUCAUCAAGGCCAGUGCACGCUAAUACCCUGGGUACAAUGCCCAGGACCUAUGCUUCUAAUGCCCUUGAAUAUAUUUUAAAAUCAGAAGGAAAAAUGAAUACGAUAAUAAAGAAUAUACAACAAUGAA